AAGCGGUGGAGCAUGUGGUUUAAUUCGAUGGUACACGAGGAACCUUACCUGGGUUUGACAUGCACAGGAAUACGGCAGAGAUGUCGUAGUCCCGCAAGGGAUCUGUGAACAGGUGCUGCAUGGCUGUCGUCAGCUCGUGCCGUGAGGUGUUGGGUUAAGUCCCCGCAACGAGCGCAACCCCUACUGCCAGUUACUAACAGGUAAUGCUGAGGACUCUGGCGGAACUGCCGGUGACAAACCGGAGGAAGGUGGGGAUGACGUCAAGUCCUCAUGGCCCUUAUGGGUAGGGCUUCACACGUCAUACAAUGGUCGGUACAGAGGGUUGCCAAGCCGCGAGGCGGAGCCAAUCCCACAAAGCCGAUCGUAGUCCGGAUUGUUCUCUGCAACUCGAGAGCAUGAAGUCGGAAUCGCUAGUAAUCGCGGAUCAGCACGCCGCGGUGAAUACGUUCCCGGGCCUU
rnacentral:rRNA from 1 species